GUGUUGAUGAUCUUUCCAUGUUUAAAUCUUUAUCCUGCUGUAAGAACCAGGGAUGGCCCAUUUUUUCCCCCCUUAGUACAAAAUGUCCUUGUAUGUGAAAGAGUUAGUGAUGCAAAUAGUAUUCAGCUGCGCCAUCGGAGUUAACGUCAGACAUUUUCCUCUUUCGUUUCUCUAAAGCUCAGUCUUGGUCCCAUCAGUUCCAGCUAGCUAAACCUAUAAGUUUACUCUUAUGAUGGGAGGACAGGAAAAAGAAAAUCACCCCACGCCCCUCCAGCAUCACUUCCAAAUAUCUAGUUGGCCUGUAAACAUCAUUUAAUGAUUUGUGGCAUCAUGUCGGGCAAUUCAGCGUCUCUCUCUGCCUGACUUUCUAACCAAACGACCAGACAAGAGUUUAAAAUGAGGCGGAUUAGCGUUAGCAGUGUAUGCUAACAACGGAGGGUGUCAUCCAGUACACUGAGCUGUUGGCAUGACAACAAUCUUCAGUCAGGAAUCCUUCAUGCCCGCAGCAUCACCAUCCACAGCAACUGGAAUUCUUUAGUUUAAUUUAAUUUAAAGUGUUUCUCAGAGGUAACAAUAAUUUAGAUUUUAGUUGUAUUUUUUUUUUUUCCAGGACUUGGGGUUGGGGGGGGCUCAAAUUAAAAGUUGGAUUAAAAGUUAAAAGUUGGAUUCUUCAUGAUGCUUCAGUUUUUUGGACUGCAGGUGUUUUUAGAAGACAUAAAAACAAUGUGAUGUUCAUUUUUCUGCUCUUCUUUGAGCUGCAGUUGCCAGUAAAUACGUCUCGCCUUAACUAUUACACUCUGCCUGUCAAUGGUGUUAUUCUUGUUGCAUAUCAUAGGUAAAAAUCUGCUUAGACCAUUAUUUUAGGAAGGUGACAAUAUGUUGUUUUUCGUUGUGGCUUAUUGGUUUCUUGUUUAUAAUUUUUUUAAAUCUCUUUCUGGAGACGUAGAAACAGAUAUGUACCAUUUUCUGGUUUUCUCCUCGAUUCUUUCCACUUUCUUUCCCUUUCAGAUUUUUUUUGAUUUUUUUUUUACCAGACCUCUCUUAUUCUUUUUUUCUCCGUUUCAUAUUCCUUUCCAUCUCCGUAUCCAUGGCACUGAAAUAAACCCAAAGCAAUUCGUAAUGAAGUUUAUUCAUAUAUAUUUGUAGUGAAAGCUGAAAUGCUCCACUAGUGAAAGUAAAUGUGUUGAGCUUCACUUUGGCACUGAGACAUCAUUUCUGAUAGCUACCAGACAGGACAUGCAAAACAAACAAACAAAAAAACUGCUUUCGGUUCAACAACAGGUCACCAGAAAUUAAAAGCAAUGAAUGAUUAGGGUCAUAAAUCAGUUCACCGAUUAAAUUUUGUCAUUAGGGUGCCUAUAUACUGUAUCUCUCUGAUAUCAAAGAAGGUCCUAUGUUAACAUGUAACUCGGUCUGUUAAGAUGUUUUCGAUUGAAACAGCUUUUGAUUUUAGUACAUGUGAACACUUGAUGCUGCACAUUCAAAGAAAUAUACAUUACGACCGUCUGCAGUUCUUCAUAAUCCAUAAAAUGUUUAGAAAAUCUGCUGUGCAGGAUAAUUUGGAGCAGCGCAUUUUGAGUUUUUUUUUUUUUUUGAAAAAUACACCGUUCUCAUGGGGAGCUUUGUUCAGUAAAAUCUGAUCUAUACUGCAAUAGUUCACGACUUGAAAAUUAUACGGACCAUCAUUUGCAUUGAUAAUUUGGGAAAAUAUCACUUGCAUAAUAACUUGGAACGCGGUGUAUAUAUGAUGUGCACGUUUCUAUAUUAGUUGACAUAAUUGCAUGAGUGUGUUUUUCUGUAAGCAUUAAAGCCAAUCUUACAUCUGAACAUGCGCUGGCAUCACCAGGCUCCACACCGCAGACAGCCAGUCUGUGAACGUGAACGUUUCCUUUUUCCGACCAUGUCUGCAGUAUGCAAAACACAAACAGCUCACACUUUGCUGCAACCUUUGUUGCUCACCACUGUAGCUCUCCAGUAUGCAGUUUAAAAAAAAAAUCUAGGUCUUCAAAGCCUCAUCUUCCCGCGCGGGGGUUAGCAGUGAGAGAAUGGAUCUUGUGCUUAAGAGGGAAGUUUUACAAUGAGAAUCUCUCUACAGGUGAUGAACGUUGCGUAAAGUUGGUGUAUUUUUCAGUGCGUGUGAUCUGUGGUGACGUCUCUCACACAGCUCGCAGCAGAAGCUGAGGCCCGGUACCGUGUGAACAGUUACAUGUAAACAUGCGAGGGCAGGGGAGCCUAAUCACUGCUGUUCUUCUGUUUUUGAUCAUUUCACACACAAAUAGCUGUUAAGAACAUAAAAAGCUGACUAGAAGAAAAAAAAAUUCCCCACAUCGUUUUUGCGCCCCCAAUAGUGCAGCGCAACACUGCAUAGCCACUUUUUGCGCCACUGGCCUGGAUUUGGGAGCUUCUCUCCCUUCCGGUUUGGUUUUCUGCUCUAACUUUCUCUAUGACUGCUGUGUCUGUUAUCUUUUAAAGGACUGUCAACCCUGACAGACACACUUAUCACACACAUCUCAACAAUAAGUGUAAUAAUAAUGACCAAACCAAAACACGGGAAGUAGUAAGGUCAGCUAAAUUGUCGUUGCGGGACCUAAAUAGCUGACAUCUGGUCUUCCUCUGUGCACCAGAAUCUAUUUUAGAUUAGGCUUACAGAUAUUAUGUGUGUCUAAACACAACACUUUGGUUUGUCAGUAUUGUGUGUAUCAUUAACACCGCUCUGUGCGUUCGCCUUCCUUUUAUUUGAAGAAGCAGUAUUGUGUGCUUUCCAGCCACACUGUAUCAUUUUAUGGCAUAAUCAAGUAAUUAUGUCGUCUUCAAUUAUCAAAAUGCUUCGUAAUUUAACGCCUUGAAAUCGGGCCUCUGUCUCUUUAAGAAUCGCCUGCUCUUUCCGACACAGGAUGUCAUCACAUCUACAUUCCUCUGUGAAGCGUUUACAAAUAUUCGUUGGAGCAUUGGACUGAGAAGCAGCUCCUACUGAUGAGCUCAGCAGAUGCUCAGUUCGACCAGAUGUUUGCUAAUUGCUGCUGGCUAGUCUGAAGGAGCUGGGUGGGAUAUUUGUGGUGGAGGGCUGCUCUGUGAGGUGGAAGUCUGGAGGAGCUUCGUCUGCGCAGGCGGCACUCAGUCCAACCAGGCGUUUUGCACCGCUGAACGGUUGCCAUGGAGAUUAAAGGAUUUCUCAAACAUGCAUGAAAGAAUAAAAGAAACACUCCAGGUCCUCGUCAGGUAAUCAAACACCGCCUGGAUUAGCUGUGCGCCCGGUUUCUAAGCAACGCUUGCACAAAGAGAAGAGUCCAGGCGUCGGGCCUCGACCAUCUGCCUGGGCUUUACCGAGUCCCCUGACUGUUGCUUUAUAAGCUUUCUGGAAGUCGGUGCCCGUCUUCAGCUAGUGAGGCGGGUAAGCCGAGUUAGUGAUGAAAUCAUAGGGACAUAUUUUAUUAUAUCAAACCACCUGGGUAAAGUACAACGCCUUAAAGAUUUUUUUCUUCUUCACCAAGUCGAUGUGCCUUCAAGGCAGCUUCUGUCUUAG